UAGGAAUCUUCCACAAUGGGGGCGCAAGCCUGAUGGAGCAACACCGCGUGAGUGAAGAAGGGUUUCGGCUCGUAAAGCUCUGUUGUUAGAGAAGAACGUGCGUGAGAGCAACUGUUCACGCAGUGACGGUAUCUAACCAGAAAGUCACGGCUAACUACGUGCCAGCAGCCGCGGUAAUACGUAGGUGGCAAGCGUUAUCCGGAUUUAUUGGGCGUAAAGCGAGCGCAGGCGGUUUGAUAAGUCUGAUGUGAAAGCCUUUGGCUUAACCAAAGAAGUGCAUCGGAAACUGUCAGACUUGAGUGCAGAAGAGGGCAGUGGAACUCCAUGUGUAGCGGUGGAAUGCGUAGAGAUGUGGAAGAAUACCAGAGGCGAAGGCGGCCUCCUGGACAGAUACUGACACUGAGGUGCGAAAGCGUG
rnacentral:rRNA from 1 species